rnacentral:snRNA from 1 species
GUGCUCUCUUUGACAACACAUACACUAAAAAUUGGAAUGACACAGAGAUUAGCAUGGCCUCUGCAGAAGGGGAACACAAAUUCAUGAAGCAUUCCAUAUAUUU